rnacentral:rRNA from 1 species
UACGAAGGGGGCUAGCGUUGCUCGGAAUUACUGGGCGUAAAGCGCACGUAGGCGGCUUUCUAAGUCGGGGGUGAAAUCCUGGAGCUCAACUCCAGAACUGCCUUCGAUACUGGAGAGCUUGAGUCCGGGAGAGGUGAGUGGAACUGCGAGUGUAGAGGUGAAAUUCGUAGAAUAUUCGCAAGAACACCAGUGGGCGAAAGGC